rnacentral:rRNA from 1 species
AGUGAACGCUGGCGGUAGGCCUAACACAUGCAAGUCGAACGGCAGCACAGUAAGAGCUUGCUCUUACGGGUGGCGAGUGGCGGACGGGUGAGGAAUACAUCGGAGUCUACUUUUUCGUGGGGGAUAACGUAGGGAAACUUACGCUAAUACCGCAUACGACCUACGGGUGAAAGCAGGGGAUCUUCGGACCUUGCGCGAUUGAAUGAGCCGAUGUCGGAUUAGCUAGUUGGCGGGGUAAAGGCCCACCAAGGUGACGAUCCGUAGCUGGUCUGAGAGGAUGAUCAGCCACACUGGAACUGAGACACGGUCCAGACUCCUACGGGAGGCAGCAGUGGGGAAUAUUGGACAAUGGGCGCAAGCCUGAUCCAGCCAUACCGCGUGGGUGAAGAAGGCCUUCGGGUUGUAAAGCCCUUUUGUUGGGAAAGAAAAGCAGCAGGUUAAUACCCCGCUGUUCUGACGGUACCCAAAGAAUAAGCACCGGCUAACUUCGUG